AUUGAACGCUGGCGGCAGGCCUAACACAUGCAAGUCGAACGAGUGGCGGACGGGUGAGUAAUGUCUGGGAAACUGCCUGAUGGCGGGGGAUAAAUACUGGAAACGGUAGCUAAUACUGCAUACUAUCGGAUGUGCCCAGAUGGGAUUAGCUAGUAGGGGGGGUAAAGGCUCACCUGGGCGACGAUCCCUAGCUGGUCUAAGAGGGUGACCAGCCACACUGGAACUGAGACACGGUCCAGACUCCUACGGGAGGCAGCAGUGGGGAAUAUUGAACAAUGGGCGCAAGCCUGAUGCAGCCAUGCCGCGUGUAUGAAGAAGGCCCUAGGGUUGUAAAGUACUUUCGGUCGGGAGGCGUUACCUACAGAAGAAGCACCGGCUAACUCCGUGCCAGCAGCCGCGGUAAUAC
rnacentral:rRNA from 1 species